CCCUUAGAUGUUCUGGGCCGCACGCGUGCUACACUGAACGGUUCAAUGGGUAAGGUAGUGCGAAAGCAUGACCUAAUCUCGAAAUCCGUUCGUGCUGGGGAUAGAAGCUUGCAAUUAUCCUUCUUGAACGAGGAAUACCUUGUAAGCGUGAGUCAUCAUCUCACGCUGAAUACGUCCCUGCCCUUUGUACACACCGCCCGUCGCUCCUACCGAUUGAGUGUUCCGGUGAGGCUUUGGGAGAAUGGCCUCAACAUGAGUUUAUCGUGUUUUGCCGUUUGAACUUAGCCAAACCUUAUCACUUAGAGGAAGGAGAAGUCGUAACA
rnacentral:rRNA from 1 species